rfam:Oceanobacillus oncorhynchi strain Oc5 genome assembly, contig: CONTIG000001
GAUUCCGUAGCUCAGCUGGGAGAGCGCCACCUUGACAGGGUGGAAGUCGUUGGUUCGAGUCCAAUCGGAAUCA